rnacentral:rRNA from 1 species
GCUUGCUACCUGACCUAGCGGCGGACGGGUGAGUAAUGCUUAGGAAUCUGCCUAUUAGUGGGGGACAACAUUCCGAAAGGAAUGCUAAUACCGCAUACGCCCUACGGGGGAAAGCAGGGGAUCUUCGGACCUUGCGCUAAUAGAUGAGCCUAAGUCAGAUUAGCUAGUUGGUGGGGUAAAGGCCUACCAAGGCGACGAUCUGUAGCGGGUCUGAGAGGAUGAUCCGCCACACUGGGACUGAGACACGGCCCAGACUCCUACGGGAGGCAGCAGUGGGGAAUAUUGGACAAUGGGCGAAAGCCUGAUCCAGCCAUGCCGCGUGUGUGAAGAAGGCCUUUUGGUUGUAAAGCACUUUAAGCGAGGAGGAGGCUACUUGGAUUAAUACUCUAGGAUAGUGGACGUUACUCGCAGAAUAAGCACCGGCUAACUCUGUGCCAGCAGCCGCGGUAAUACAGAGGGUGCGAGCGUUAAUCGGAUUUACUGGGCGUAAAGCGUGCGUAGGCGGCUUUUUAAGUCGGAUGUGAAAUCCCUGAGCUUAACUUAGGAAUUGCAUUCGAUACUGGGAAGCUAGAGUAUGGGAGAGGAUGGUAGAAUUCCAGGUGUAGCGGUGAAAUGCGUAGAGAUCUGGAGGAAUACCGAUGGCGAAGGCAGCCAUCUGGCCUAAUACUGACGCUGAGGUACGAAAGCAUGGGGAGCAAACAGGAUUAGAUACCCUGGUAGUCCAUGCCGUAAGCGAUGUCUACUAGCCGUUGGGGCCUUUGAGGCUUUAGUGGCGCAGCUAACGCGAUAAGUAGACCGCCUGGGGAGUACGGUCGCAAGACUAAAACUCAAAUGAAUUGACGGGGGCCCGCACAAGCGGUGGAGCAUGUGGUUUAAUUCGAUGCAACGCGAAGAACCUUACCUGGUCUUGACAUAGUAAGAACUUUCCAGAGAUGGAUUGGUGCCUUCGGGAACUUACAUACAGGUGCUGCAUGGCUGUCGUCAGCUCGUGUCGUGAGAUGUUGGGUUAAGUCCCGCAACGAGCGCAACCCUUUUCCUUAUUUGCCAGCGGGUUAAGCCGGGAACUUUAAGGAUACUGCCAGUGACAAACUGGAGGAAGGCGGGGACGACGUCAAGUCAUCAUGGCCCUUACGACCAGGGCUACACACGUGCUACAAUGGUCGGUACAAAGGGUUGCUACCUAGCGAUAGGAUGCUAAUCUCAAAAAGCCGAUCGUAGUCCGGAUUGGAGUCUGCAACUCGAC